rnacentral:rRNA from 1 species
AUUGAACGCUGGCGGCAGGCCUAACACAUGCAGGUCGAGCGGAUGAAGGGAGCUUGCUCCUGGAUUCAGCGGCGGACGGGUGAGUAAUGCCUAGGAAUCUGCCUGGUAGUGGGGGAUAACAUCCGGAAACGGGCGCUAAUACCGCAUACGUCCUGAGGGAGAAAGUGGGGGAUCUUCGGACCUCACGCUAUCAGAUGAGCCUAGGUCGGAUUAGCUAGUUGGUGGGGUAAAGGCCUACCAAGGCGACGAUCCGUAACUGGUCUGAGAGGAUGAUCAGUCACACUGGAACUGAGACACGGUCCAGACUCCUACGGGAGGCAGCAGUGGGGAAUAUUGGACAAUGGGCGAAAGCCUGAUCCAGCCAUGCCGCGUGUGUGAAGAAGGUCUUCGGAUUGUAAAGCACUUUAAGUUGGGAGGAAGGGCAGUAAGUUAAUACCUUGCUGUUUUGACGUUACCAACAGAAUAAGCACCGGCUAACUUCGUG